UACAGGGGGUGCAAACGUUGCUCGGAAUUAUUGGGCGUAAAGCGCACGUAGGCGGUUCGUUAUGUCGGAUGUGAAAGCCCUUGGCUCAACUGAGGAAGUGCAUCCGAAACUGGCGAGCUAGAGUAUGUAAGAGGGUCGCGGAAUUCCCGGUGUAGAGGUGAAAUUCGUAGAUAGUCGGGAGGAACACCGGUGGCGAAGGCGGCGACCUGGGACAAUACUGACGCUGAGGUGCGAAAGCGUGGGGAGCAAACAGG
rnacentral:rRNA from 1 species